rnacentral:lncRNA from 1 species
GUGAGAAAGUGUUUACAGCGCUUUUGCUCAAGAACUCAUAAGGAACAUAAGUGGGAGACAAUUGUUAUUUAAAUUAGUGAAUUAUAACUAUUGUGAACUUCUUUUUAACGAAAACACCUACACCAAUUAGUUCAUAUUUUGUAUCAAAGUGAUUAUUUCCCAACCUCAUUUUCUCUAAUCAAAUCACUGUUUGUUACGGAAACAUGGCAAGCUGUCAAAUGAGUGGAAUGUCUUUUUCUAAUCCUGACUUAUUAGUAUAAUUUUUCCCUUCAAGAGAGGCAGCAAAAAUAUCCACGGGAACUAUAAUUGGCUAUGGAAUGAGACAGCCGCCUCUGGCAAUUGAGGUGAAGUAGGUUGGCUGCUGAAUUGUAAAGAUCCCAUUUUUCGUUGUUAGCUCUUGUCCCUCCUUCGUACCCCAUCCACAUGGGCGAGUUUAAUCAGCAAUUCUAUAGUAGGAAGCUCCGUGGCACUCUGAACUUGCAUUUGAGCUCAGUUUUCUACUGAUUAAACAUGGGAGCUUGGAAAAUGACUUCACUCUUGUAGGCAUUAGUUUUCUCACCUGCAAAUCAAGGAUAAUAUCACCUUCUUGGUUGAAGUGUGUAAAAAGAAUUAAAUAUAGUGCAUAUUAUGUGCCUAGCAUGAAGUGCUAAAUAAUGGCAGAAAUUAUUACUAUAUUUUGGGAAAUAACAGUUUAGCUAAUGUGAAUGGCAUGGCAAAAUAACCCCGCCCUCUUUCCCGACCCUUCUUCCCAGGGCAUGAUCGUGGCUAUUCCAUGGUCAACAUGUUAAGUGUCAAUUUUAAUCGCAGAGUAAAAUUUCAUAGCCAACUAGAAACUCUAGAAAAUAGAGGUUGAUAAUGGACGUACUGAUAAAUCUUUUGAUGUUUUCAGGAAUGUAACGGGCUUCUUAAGAAACUGGAGUUGCAAGAGCUUUCAAAUAGAAAUUCUGAGAACUACGUACUCAAGUGUCUUUAGGAGCCAGACAAGCGAGGCCAGCCAAGUGGACAUUAUGCCAAACUGCGUAACAGAUGCCCGCCUAUAGAAGACAGCAGAUACUUGCUCUAUCCAAAUAUUGCAGCUUGAAACUCUGUAAGGACACAGCUGCAAACAAAGGAAGUGCUUGAUAUUUAUGCAUCAUCUGCCACAAUUUCAUUGCUGCUUGAACCAGAUAAAUUAUGA